AGGCGCGCAAAUUACCCACUCCCAGUACGGGGAGGUGGUGACGAUAAAUACCGAUGCGGGACUCGUCAUGAGGCUCCGUAAUCGGAAUGAGUGAGAUUUAAAUCCUUUCACAAGGAUCAAUUGGAGGGCAAGUCUGGUGCCAGCAGCCGCGGUAACUCCAGCUCCAAUAGCGUAUAUUAAAGUUGUUGCAGUUAAAAAGCUCGUAGUUGGAUCUCGGUAGCAUUGUUGCCUGCCAUGGCUUGGCUAGUUGAGCUUGGGUUAAGUGCUUUGCGCUAGCCUAGUUUGGCUUGUCGAGUCGGCGUGGUGGCGGUGUCACCUUUCAGCCAUGUCUGUGGUGAAAUACCCAUAGGUGUAGGCGGGUGUCAGGCGGUGCUCUGCAAUAGUAGGGUCCGUCGGCUCGUUUGCAUGCCUUUGGAUGCCCUUUAAAAGGUGUCUGUUGGCGGAUGGCACGUUUACUUUGAACAAAUUUGAGUGCUCAAACCAGGCCGAUGUUGCCUGAAAAGUUUUGCAUGGAAUAAUAGAAUAGGACUUCGGUUCUAUUUUGUUGGUUUUCGGAUCCGAAGUAAUGAUCAAAAGAGACAGGCGGGGACGUUUGUAUGGUUGCGCUAGAGGUGAAAUUCAUGGACCGUAGCCAGACAAACUAAAGCGAAAGCAUUCGUCAAGCAUGUUUUCAUUGACCAUGAGCGAAAGUCAGAGGCUCGAAGACGAUCAGAUACCGUCCUAGUUCUGACCAUAAACUAUGCCAACUGACGAUCCGUGAUGGUAGUAUUAUAACCUUCCACACGGGCAGUCUCCGGAAAACCUUUAAGUCUUUGGGUUCCGGGGGAAGUAUGGUUGCAAAGCUGAAACUUAAAGGAAUUGACGGAAGGGCACCACCAGGAGUGGAGCCUGCGGCUUAAUUUGACUCAACACGGGAAAACUCACCCGGGCCGGACACUAUGAGGAUUGACAGAUUGACAGCUCUUUCAUGAUUUGGUGGUUGGUGGUGCAUGGCCGUUCUUAGUUGGUGGAGCGAUUUGUCUGGUUAAUUCCGAUAACGAACGAGACUCUAGCCUGCUAAUUAGUGUGCUCGUCCACUGUUCCUGUGCAGGUUGCGUUUCUACGAUUCUGCUCUAUCAACGUGGCUGGCUGGAAGUGUGUUUGACUAUGUCGGGCAUGCGGAAGGUUAGUCGCUGGAGUGGAUGGUUAGGCGUGGCUUCCGGGUACGGCGCGGGUACCUUACUUCUUAGAGGGACAAACGGCAGAAUCCGCACGAAAUUGAGCAAUAACAGGUCUGUGAUGCCCUUAGAUGUCCGGGGCCGCACGCGCGCUACAAUGACGAUGGCAACGAGUCUGACCUUCUGGCCCGAAAGGGUUGGACAAACUGGUCAAUCAUCGUCAUGACAGGGAUUGGGGCUUGUAAUUGUUCCCCAUGAACGAGGAAUUCCUAGUAAGUGCAAGUCAUAAGCUUGCGCUGAUUACGUCCCUGCCCUUUGUACACACCGCCCGUCGCUACUACCGAUUGAAUGGUUUAGUAAGGUCAUUGG
rnacentral:rRNA from 1 species